AAGGACUGCCAUCGACAAGAUGGAGGAAGUGGGGAUGACGUCAAGUCAUCAUGGCCCUUAUGUCCAGGGCGACACACGUGCUACAAUGGCCGGCACAACGGGAAGCGAGUUCGCGAGGACGAGCGGAUCCCUCAAAGCCGGUCGCAGUUCGGAUUGAAGUCUGCAACUCGACUUCAUGAAGCUGGAAUCGCUAGUAAUCGUGGAUCAGCCAAGCCGCGGUGAAUACGUUCCCGGGCCUU
rnacentral:rRNA from 1 species